GCCUUCCUGUCCAAUUACAUGCCCUCCAGCUUCUCGUCCUUGGACAAUAAUUGCAUCAACACCAACACUGAUGGCCUUUUUGGCAUCUUCAAAACUCCCAACUUGGGGAACAACCUUGACUCCAGCCUGAUGAGCCUUGAGUACAAGCUCCUCUGCACAGUCGCCCCAAUAAACUUGCAAAACUGCUACCUUCUCAUCCAGUAUAGCAUUUACAUUUUCCUCAUGGGGAAAUGCCAGAACAACACCAACUCCAAAGGGUUUAUCAGUUAAAGUCCGAGUUUUCCUUAUCAAUCCCCGCAAGUAAUCAGGUGACUCCCAAUCGGGAGCUCUGAGGAAGCCAAGUCCACCAGCAUUAGCCACAGCAGCUACGAGCUCAGGACCAGAAAUAUCAGGUCCCAAAGGUGCCUGUACAAUCCCAUAUUCAAAACCCAAAAUCCCUCUCCA
rnacentral:misc_RNA from 1 species